rnacentral:rRNA from 1 species
GAUGAACGCUGGCGGCGUGCCUAAUACAUGCAAGUCGAGCGGUAAGGCUCCUUCGGGAGUACACGAGCGGCGGACGGGUGAGUAAUACGUAGGAACGUACCCCAAAGUGAGGAAUAACCAGCCGAAAGGUUGGCUAAUACCGCAUAUGCUCUACGGAGUAAAGCAGCAAUGCGCUUUGGGAACGGCCUGCGUCCGAUUAGCUAGUUGGUAAGGUAAAGGCUUACCAAGGCGACGAUCGGUAGCUGUUCUGAGAGGAUGAUCAGCCACACUGGAACUGAGGCACGGUCCAGACUCCUACGGGAGGCAGCAGUAGGGAAUUUUCCACAAUGGGCGAAAGCCUGAUGGAGCAACGCCGCGUGCAGGAUGAAGGCCUUAGGGUUGUAAACUGCUUUUAUCUGUGACGAUUAUGACAGUAGCAGAUGAAUAAGGAUCGGCUAACUCCGUGCCAGCCGCCGCCGUAA